GACGAACGCUGGCGGCGUGCUUAACACAUGCAAGUCGAACGGAAAGGCCCUGCUUUUGUGGGGUGCUCGAGUGGCGAACGGGUGAGUAACACGUGAGUAACCUGCCCUUGACUUUGGGAUAACUUCAGGAAACUGGGGCUAAUACCGGAUAGGAGCACCUGCUGCAUGGUGGGGGUUGGAAAGUUUCGGCGGUUGGGGAUGGACUCGCGGCUUAUCAGCUUGUUGGUGGGGUAGUGGCUUACCAAGGCUUUGACGGGUAGCCGGCCUGAGAGGGUGACCGGCCACAUUGGGACUGAGAUGCGGGCCAGACUGCAACGGGAGGCAGCAGUGGGAGAUUGUGCACGAUGGGCGGAAGCCUGAAGCAGCAACGCCGCGUGCGGGAUGACGGCCUUCGGGUUGUAAACCGCUUUCGCCUGUGACGAUGCGUAAGUGACGGUAAUGGGUAAAGAAGCACCGGCUAACUACGUG
rnacentral:rRNA from 1 species